UGGGGAAUAUUGGACAAUGGGCGAAAGCCUGAUCCAGCCAUGCCGCGUGUGUGAAGAAGGUCUUCGGAUUGUAAAGCACUUUAAGUUGGGAGGAAGGGCAGUAAGCGAAUACCUUGCUGUUUUGACGUUACCGACAGAAUAAGGACCGGCUAACUCUGUGCCAGCAGCCGCGGUAAUACAGAGGGUGCAAGCGUUAAUCGGAAUUACUGGGCGUAAAGCGCGCGUAGGUGGUUCGUUAAGUUGAAUGUGAAAGCCCCGGGCUCAACCUGGGAACUGCAUCCAAAACUGGCGAGCUAGAGUAGGGCAGAGGGUGGUGGAAUUUCCUGUGUAGCGGUGAAAUGCGUAGAUAUAGGAAGGAACACCAGUGGCGAAGGCGACCACCUGGGCUCAUACUGACACUGAGGUGCGAAAGCGUGGGGAGCAAACAGG
rnacentral:rRNA from 1 species